UACGGAGGGUGCAAGCGUUGUUCGGAUUUAUUGGGCGUAAAGCGCGUGUAGGCGGUUUCUUAAGUCUGAUGUGAAAGCCCUGGGCUCAACCCAGGAAGUGCAUUGGAUACUGGGAGACUUGAAUACGGGAGAGGGUAGUGGAAUUCCUAGUGUAGGAGUGAAAUGCGUAGAUAUUAGGAGGAACACCGGUGGCGAAGGCGGCUACCUGGUCCGAUAUUGACGCUGAGACGCGAAAGCGUGGGGAGCAAACAGG
rnacentral:rRNA from 1 species